GUGGAAUUUUAAGUAUUCAUCCCGUUUUGUCUGUAUCGCGAAGUUUGGAGUCGUUUUUGUUGAAGCGAUUCCACGCAUUUUCGAGUGCUGAUAUUUUUCGCUUAAAAAUAAAGAGGCCGU
rnacentral:pre_miRNA from 1 species